CAUCUCUCCUCCCUCUUCCUGGAUACCGGAGUCCUUUCGGCUCAUUGAUGGGGAAGGGAUAUUAUCGCCCGCUCACCAGCGGUGAGUUAAAUGUUCAGCAUUGGUAACAAGAGGUGGAAAUGUCAGGGUAGCAUUAAGAACAUUCAGAUGUCCACUUCCAUUGGCUCGCAGUAUGUCAGUAAUGCAGCUGGAAUAAGAGGUCACACACCUUGGAUUCCUUCUUCUUGCGAGCCAACAUUGGUCUUUGGAGGAAAACGAUCUGCUUGGUGGCCAAACUUCCAUCACUGGAUAAGAGAGACGAAGCAUUUUAGAUUGUGAACUAGGUUUCAAGGCUUUCCAACUGCACGGCGGGAUGUGAAAACUCCCUGACAAACCUGCACCUCAUCUGAGCUCUGAGCAUUUCACACUGCUGACCAACGCCAUUAUGUUUUAUAGAUGUUCACCCAGAGCAUUAGAGGGACUUGUGCAGGGAAUGACUAUAUUUAAGUCAUAAGGACGCAGCGCUGUGCAAAAGACUCCUGGCAGCUGUCAUUUUGUGGCUGAAUGAGAGAAAUUGGUGUAGCGUGAGGCCACCGAUGGCGACAGUAGCAUACUUCCACUGCUGACGAAGUCACUUCCACAUCCAGAUGGAGACUCCCAACAUGCAUCAUUCACAUGGCACAGCAAUCUCCAUGCACAAUGCCACAGUUUUUGCAAAAAAAAAGGCUCCCUAGCUAAUGUUGAGAAUGAGGUUUGCCAUCUGGUUACUGGCGGAAAAACAAGGGUGAACAAAGCCUAAUCUAGCACCCGCUGUGUGGGUUUUUGUAAAUGCCAAGUCUGCCUAAUCCCAUACGUCAAAACACUGUGACAAUGCUUUUCUGCAGACAAGAAUAACAAAAUCAGGCAAGUGA